GAUGAAGAACGUAGCGAAAUGCGAUACGUAGUGUGAAUUGCAGAAUUCAGUGAAUCAUCGAAUCUUUGAACGCACAUUGCACCUCUCGGUAUUCCGGGAGGUAUGCCUGUUCGAGCGUCAUUUGUACCCUCAAGCUCUGCUUGGUGUUGGGUGUUUGUUCCGCCUCUGUGUGUGAACUCGCCUCAAAACAAUUGGCAGCCGGCGUACUUGUUUCGGAGCGCAGCACAUUUUGCGAUCCAGAUCAACGUACAGCGGCAUCCAAGAAGCCUUAUUUAACGCUCUUGACCUCGGAUCAGGUAGGGAUACCCGCUGAACUUAAGCAUAUCAAUAAGGAGGA
rnacentral:misc_RNA from 1 species